rnacentral:rRNA from 1 species
UACGUAGGGUGCAAGCGUUGUCCGGAAUUAUUGGGCGUAAAGAGCUCGUAGGCGGUCUGUCGCGUCGGCUGUGAAAACUCGGGGCUCAACCCCGAGCCUGCAGUCGAUACGGGCAGACUAGAGUGCGGUAGGGGAGACUGGAAUUCCUGGUGUAGCGGUGAAAUGCGCAGAUAUCAGGAGGAACACCCGGUGGCGAAGGCGGGUCUCUGG